rnacentral:rRNA from 2 species
AGAAGANNUGAUCCUGGCUCAGUAAGUCGUAACAAGGUAACCAGUAGAGUUUGAUCCUGGCCCGAUGAUCGUAAGUGGUCUCNAUAGAGUUUGACUGGGAUAACUCCGGGAAACCGGGGCUAAUACCGGAUAACAUUUUGAACCGCAUGGUUCGAAAUUGAAAGGCGGCUUCGGCUGUCACUUAUGGAUGGACCCGCGUCGCAUUAGCUAGUUGGUGAGGUAACGGCUCACCAAGGCAACGAUGCGUAGCCGACCUGAGAGGGUGAUCGGCCACACUGGGACUGAGACACGGCCCAGACUCCUACGGGAGGCAGCAGUAGGGAAUCUUCCGCAAUGGACGAAAGUCUGACGGAGCAACGCCGCGUGAGUGAUGAAGGCUUUCGGGUCGUAAAACUCUGUUGUUAGGGAAGAACAAGUGCUAGUUGAAUAAGCUGGCACCUUGACGGUACCUAACCAGAAAGCCACGGCUAACUACGUGCCAGCAGCCGCGGUAAUACGUAGGUGGCAAGCGUUAUCCGGAAUUAUUGGGCGUAAAGCGCGCGCAGGUGGUUUCUUAAGUCUGAUGUGAAAGCCCACGGCUCAACCGUGGAGGGUCAUUGGAAACUGGGAGACUUGAGUGCAGAAGAGGAAAGUGGAAUUCCAUGUGUAGCGGUGAAAUGCGUAGAGAUAUGGAGGAACACCAGUGGCGAAGGCGACUUUCUGGUCUGUAACUGACACUGAGGCGCGAAAGCGUGGGGGAGCAAACAGGAUUAGAUACCCUGGUAGUCCACGCCGUAAACGAUGAGUGCUAAGUGUUAGAGGGUUCCGCCCUUUAGUGCUGAANUUAACGCAUUAAGCACUCCGCCUGGGGAGUACGGCCGCAAGGCUGAAACUCAAAGGAAUUGACGGGGGCCCGCACAAGCGGUGGAGCAUGUGGNUUAAUU